ensembl:lncRNA MUC20-OT1 MUC20 overlapping transcript
AACCUUUGCUGUCUUGGGACGGAUCACCGCUGCAAGAGGGGAAGUUGCUACUGUGAUGAAUUCUGCCAUGUGGCACCAGACUGCCACCCAGACCACAGUGUCCUCUGCAACCCUGGUAACUCACAUACAGGCCCGAUUCCACCUACAGCAAAGCUGGAUGCGAUGGCUGGCAGAGGCAAACCCUUUGCCUGCACUUCAGGCCAAAGCCGGGAUGUGGCCUAGAUGGUUCCUAAGGUCCCUGACAAUCCUGAGAUCUUGCAUCUUGUCUAUUUCAGGUCAAAGGUGCCUACAUGCUCCUUCUAGCUUUGUUUCCCUGAUGUUCCUUGCCACCUGCUACUCCUCUCUGAGCUACUUUUCCAGGUUCCACAGGGAGAGGUUCAGCUGUCCGUGGUAGACAUGAGGGUAGAGAAUGAGGUGGUUGGGUUCCACUUACCUUUCUAUCAUCUUGCAGUAUGGAUGUCUCUUGACUGGUACCGUGUAGACUUUUGAGGGCACACAGGAGUCUGCAGAGAGAUACUGGGGACAUUGAGCAGCAGCAGUGGGGUUGGGAGGCAGAAAUGAGGACAGGAACAUUUACCUUGUGUUUCUCUCAGCUUCUCAGAUGACCAAGAUGGUGCUGCAGAUGGUGCUGAGGAUGGAGAACCCACCAAGCCCCGCUAGGAGCCACCUAGACUGGAUGCAGAGCAUGGCUAAAACCUUUGAAGAAGAAUUUAUUAUAUCCUACAAACCUGGGAGGCAGAGGUUGCAGUGAACUGGGAUUGUGCCACUGCACUCCAGCCCAGGCGACAGAGCAAG